AGUGAACGCUGGCGGUAGGCCUAACACAUGCAAGUCGAACGGCAGCACAAGAGAGCUUGCUCUCUGGGUGGCGAGUGGCGGACGGGUGAGGAAUACAUCGGAAUCUACUCUGUCGUGGGGGAUAACGUAGGGAAACUUACGCUAAUACCGCAUACGACCUACGGGUGAAAGCAGGGGACCUUCGGGCCUUGCGCGAUUGAAUGAGCCGAUGUCGGAUUAGCUAGUUGGCGGGGUAAAGGCCCACCAAGGCGACGAUCCGUAGCUGGUCUGAAAGGAUGCACAGCCACACUGGAACUGAGACACGGUCCCGACUCCUACGGGAGGCAGCAGUGGGGAAUAUUGGACAAUGGGCGCAAGCCUGAUCCAGCCAUACCGCGUGGGUGAAGAAGGCCUUCGGGUUGUAAAGCCCUUUUGUUGGGAAAGAAAUCCAGCUGGCUAAUACCCGGUUGGGAUGACGGUACCCAAAGAAUAAGCACCGGCUAACUUCGUGCCAGCAGCCGCCGUAA
rnacentral:rRNA from 1 species